rnacentral:lncRNA from 1 species
CUUCGACUAAUAUUUGAGGAAGAAUAAAACUUCAAGCUAUCAAUUAUAUAUUCACAUGCUUGAGCCAUACAUAAAAAUGUUUAAAGUGUUUAAACAAACUCAUAAAAUAAAUUCAACUCUAAUUCAGCAGUCUAACAGGUUCAAAUCUUCACUUAUUUAUAAGCGAUAUCUGCAUUACAAAUUUCAAGAGUUACCUAUAUUGCAGAGAAUCAAAAAUAUAGUAUUGAAAAUGAAUAGAAAAUAGCAGAAAUAACAACAAAUAGCAGGAAACUUUAAAACUCGAUGUGAACCAAAAACACAAACCAAAGCUCAGUGACAUGGGAAAGGAAGAAAGAACUCACAAACUUCAAAUCUUCAACUUACUUUUGGAUGUCAUCUGCUGAUUUGUUCUCGAAGUUUUUGUGUUUUCUUAGUGUAAAAGAUGAUGGCUAAGUGUGAUCUAUUGUGUGUGUAAAAAUGAGCUCUUAAGUAGGAAAUAAAAGCACAUUUUGAACAGAUUUUGGUUUUUCAAAAUUCUGUCAAAAAGGACUAACUUUUCCUACCAAAUAUGUCACGAUCCAAUUUAAGAUUGUGACCGGUGCUUAGGAGGAAGUGCUCCCAAGUAAGCCUCAUUGGAAAUUUUAACCAACCAACCACUAGAAAUACUAAUUUAUCUUCAACUUUGAUAAAUGAGAACGAUACUCAACAUAAGACUAUAAUAACAAAAGAUUACGUAUGACACUAAAAUAAUGACUAUGGAGCGACUCUAAGAGUUCAAUGAAAAGACCAUAACAAUAAGUAAAAUCUUUGCCCACGCGAACAAGUGCGAGCCUCACCGAGAAAUAUCAACAUGUGCGCUCUAAUUAACAAAAUCCUUGUCUGCCUCAACUGAUGUCUCUGUACAAAAAAUUAGUGGGGAAUGAGUCGCUAGCUCAGUGAGUAAUAACACUUAACAACAACCGCUUUUAUUUGGGGAUAAGUCAAAAACAUUCUAGUAUCGCAAAGAGAAAAUAACAUAAAAAUGCCCUUAAGAAAUAAUAAAUAAUUUUCAGCCUCAUCACAUUUUUCUUAUAGUAAAAUAUAAUUAAGAAUUUAGUAAUAAGCUCGGUAACCGCUGUACAAUAUCAGUAUUCAUAUUUUUUCUAAGGUUUCAAUGAACGGAUCAUGUAUUCGGUAUACUUCUUUGCAAGAAAUCAUAUAUAAUGGUAGUCCCUACUUGAGGAAAACCAGUAACGGUAUGCUAGUUCUACCUUUCCACUAGCGAGGGCUAUAACGGUAAUCACUAAUUACAAGGUGCACCAUAUCUAACGGACCCACCGUUAGCUGCGGGAUGUUUCAAUACCUACUCCCAUUUAUACUUGGCGCAGUAAUCCGUAUAUACUCGUAGAAACUAUUUUAAUACAAUAUAAGGCAUUUCGGUUCUUAUCAAAUCAUUUAAUUUCCUUUCAAUAACAGUGAAUUCAAGCAACGGUAAAACAUAUCUAGUAAACAUCAAGAAUAUUUAAAACAACGUUAAUCAUGUCAAAUAAUUAUUCGGUCUCAUAUUGAGUAAAAGACUUAUUCCACAUGCAACUCAAAAUAAUCAGUAACAUAUUCAUAUUAAAAAUUAUGUGUAAAUCAUGCAAGUUAUGAAAACACAAAUUACGGUAAAAUUACUGCUCAUAGUACUCAUGCCGAAAUACCAACUACUUCACCUCAAGAAACUCGUACAAAUUCUUCCAAUCAAUCUAUAAUUACAUAAUAUCAAUAUCAUGUUAAUUUUCUUAUUUAGGCUAAUUCAUAGCUAUUUUAGAGUACCCAAUCAUCGGGGUUCAUAUUUUGGUCUUAAUUUGUGGAUUUAUAUUUACCCACAUAUGAGUAAUACUAAUGUAUCAACUCCAUCCUAUUCAUAAAAUUUGUUACUCCAAGUUUUAUGAAGUUCUAUUGAUUCUUUAGGAAAAAAUUUCUCAAUUGUGUAAAUGAACUAGUAUAAUUUCUAUUACUCUGAAGAAUCUUCCAAUCAAGAGAAUCGAAAUUAAAAUCUAUCAGGAGAAGAAGUUCAAGUAAUACCCGUAGAAAACAAUUAGUGAUUAAAAUUUCUCAACAAUUAUAGCUAUGGUUCCAACGCACUGCACCCACUUCUUUCUCUUUCUUUUCUCUUUUCUUUCUUUCUUUCUUUCUUUCUUCUGAUCGCUUUCGUUUGAUUUUUUUUCUUUCCAUUGAAGCUUUCACGUUCCAGCAGAAAGCUUUGCUUUCUAAACCCUUAAAACUUUGGAAAGAUAAGUUAAUGGGCUUCGACCCUUUGUUUUCAAUUCUUACUCUUUUUUAAAGCUAGUUUUAUUAUUAUUAUUAUUGUUAUUAUUAUUUUUCUAAUGACCAAUUCACCCUUAGAAAAUAUAGGGUAUUACAUCCUCUCCACCUUAUGAUAUUCGGUCCCCAAAUUUAACUUAAGUACAUACAUGUAGGCUGAAACAAAUGGGGAUACUUCGCUUGCAUAUAUCUAGUUCUCAAGUAGCUUCUUUGACUGUAUGAUUUUGCUAUAAGACUUUUACGAACUCAAUUUCUUUUGACUGUAGCUUUCUUACUUGCCUAUCAACAAUAGCCAUUGGCACCUUCUCGUAAGACAACCUCUCAUUGAGUGGUAUAGUCGGUGCUUCAAUCACCUGAGAUGAGCCUGAUAUACAUUUUCUUAGCAUUGAGACGUGAAACACUGGAUGAAUAAAGGAUAACUCAGGAGGAAGUGCCAAACGAUAAGCCACAACUCUCACUUGAUCUAGUAUCUCAUACGGUCCUUUAAGCCUGGGACUCAGCUUGCCUCUUUUCACGAACCGCAUCACACCUUUCAUAUGGGAGACUCGUAGGCACACUUUAUCCCCAAGUGUGAACGCUAAAUCUCUUCUUCUCUUAUCAGCAUAAGACAUUUGUCUACUUUGAGCUGCAAGUAAUCUCUAUCUGAUCGACUGGACCUUGUCCAUAGCUUCUUGUACUAGUUCGGGUCACAAUACGUCAGUCUCACCAGCUUCAAACCAUCCGAUAGAAGAACGAUAUCUUCUACCAUACAAUACUUCAUAUGGUGCCAUUUGAAUACUGGACUGGAAGUUAUUAUUGUAAAAAAUUCAGGUAAAGGUAGAUAAGCAUCCCAACUACCUCCAAACUCAAGAAUGCAAGCUCUCAACAUAUCCUCCAAGAUCUGUAUAGUACGUUCAAACUGCCCGUUUGUCUAUGAAUGAAAUGCAGUACUAAUCUACUCGUGUACCCAAUGCUUAUUGAAAAGAUUUCCAAAAGCCUGAGGUAAAUUGUGAUCCUCUAUCACAGAUUAUGGAUAUUGGGACUCCGUCAAGCAGGAAAAUUGCAUUCAUAAAUAUAUGUGCAUACCUGACUCCACCAUGUGUAGUCUUCAACGGCAAAAAGUGUGCUGAUUUCGUUAGUUGAUCUACAAUCACCCAUACCGAGUCAUAACCUCUAAGGGUUCGUGGUAGCCCGGUGACAAAACCCAUAGUAAUUCUUUCUCAUUUUCACUCUGGAAUCUCAAUUUGUUGCAAUAGACCAGCGGGUCACUGAUGCUCAGCCUUGACCUGCUGUCACGCCUCCUUUUUUCUACACCUGAAAGGGUAUAAGGGAGUUUUUCCAACUUAAAGUGACAAUCAAAAUGCAAUUUAUUUAUUUAAAGAUUCAGAGUCGCCACUUGGGAUAACUUUAUGGUAUCCCAAGUCACCGGUUCAAAUCCCGAAUCAAGAAAAGAUUGACUCUGUUUCACAGUCCACGAACAAAGAAAUCCUGAUAAGAAAUUAUGUUAACCUAUGAGAAGGUGUUAGGCAUUCCCGAGUUCUGUGGUUCUAGCACGGUCUCUCAACAGUUAUUAUUGGCCUAAUUAUCUGAUUUUAAAGCGCUUUUAAACCUAUAUGCAUUUUCUUUAAAACUGCUUUUAAUUAUUUUAAGGAAUAUUUCAAUGUCGUCUAAAAUACGUCUUUGGACCACGCCACACGAAAUGCACCCGCAGUCUGAGACACAUUUUAUUUAACGUUGUUAUGAUUUGGAUUUGGAUCACAUGAAAUACAUACUGGAGUUUAGGAAGGUAGAUUUUAAAAUACCGCGCCUAAAGCAACUACGCAUUUUUAAGUUUGCGAGGGCCAUGGAAAUUCAACUAAAUGGCAUGCCUCGAGUUUCUACAAAGUUAAAAUUAAUUAAGUGAGGGCCAUGGGUUUUAAAAUUUUAUUUAGUAUGGCACACCUCAAAAAAUUUUAAAAGAUUGUACUCAACUUAAAGCAAACUACAAAUGUUCACGAUCGUUUAAUAAACUACUUUGAGAUUAUUGUGAGGGCAUGAACAAAAUAUUUGUCAUUAGCGUAGGCUACAUAGAGUACGGUGAAAGGAAACACCUAUACCGGCUAAAGCACCGGAGAAUUAUCAAUUACACUAUCUUUGACACAUGGAACAAACAAUGGUGUCAAAACUACCUAUAGUUAACUUAGGAAGAUUGCAAGUUAGUAGGAAAAGAUUUGGUGAUCAACCAGAUGCAAAUUUUCAAGGUCUCAACCACAAAUAAGCCAAUAAUUAAACAUUCAAAUCAAGUUUCAAAAUAGUAAGGACAUGCUAAACAGUACCACAAAUUUCUGGAUAAACAUAAAGAUGGUUCAAGAUGCCAAAGUUGUUUCAUGAAAUAGACUACAAGAACACGGAAAAUAUUCCACAAUAUGCAUUCCUAGAGUCACUACCUGGAUUAAGAGAUGCCUUAGCCUUUCAAGGAGACAACUAUGUCUCAGGCUCCUUCUCGACAUUAUUAAUAAUACAACUUAGAUAUCGAGAGCAUUUGCAGUUACAUUGCUUCUGCCUUUUAGGAGUACCAUCUUUUACCUCACUAACACCAUUAAUCAGACACCUUCAUAAAUCACGAUCAUAUGAUUUAAAUAGAUCUUGCACGAAAAUAAAGAUAUUGCACAAAAAGUAACCUAUAUAUCUAAAAAUAGAGAACAAACAUUGCAAAACCAAAAUUCAAGUAAAUCAAAUGCAAGAGGAAUAUAAACAUUGCUUGGUCAUUAAACAAAAAUAAUACAAAAGGGGAUUUAAAACUGACCUAGCUGAAGAGGAAAACACUAAAGGAUAAUCCAACAAAGAGCAGCAUCUGAUUCAAACUAAUUUUCCACAAGUGAAACAAAGUCCAGCUAGUGAAGGAACAACAGCACUCGGCUUCGAUUCUCAGAUCAGGAAAAAACCAAAUUGAAACUCAGAAAAUAGUGAAGAUAAUUCCUUGAAACAUCAGUAACGAAUGCACUUUUCAGAACCAUUUUUGGUGUGUUUUUUCCGAAUCGUAAAGUUGAGAAUCUCGGAGCUCUAACUCGAACUUGACAGCUUUAUAAUUUUUUUUGGUUUGUUUUGUAUUAAGGCUAGCCAGCUUGUCUUUAGGAGAGAAUAUGAUUGUGAGUGUAUUCUCCCUUGGGAAUCGAAGGAGAGAGGUUGUGAGAGAGAAGAUGGAAGAUUGAAGGGUUGCUUCUUUUUUUUUAAGAGCGCCGCUGUAGGUCUCUUAUUGUAUCCCCGAAAAAUCUUAUCCUAGGUCUUCUAUAUCUAGGUUUUAUUAAAAGGUUAAGGGGUUUGAGU